rnacentral:tRNA from 1 species
UCCCCGGUAGCUAAGCUGUUAAAGAAUCUGCCUGCAAUGCAGUAGACCCUGGUUCGAUUCCUGGGUUGGGAA